GAAGGCCAGUGAAUGGCAAGACUAGGAAUUUCUAUACCUUGUAUGUAAAAAUAACUUUUCCUCUGGGUGAAAAGCCCCAGAUAAUAAAGGAAGACGAAAAGACCCCGCGGAGCUUAACCUACAAGAUUUUAUCCCUAAAAAAUAAAUUCUCCUAAGUUUGAUUGGGGCAAUCAUGGAAUAAUUAAAACUUCCAGUCUAUAAAAAAACUCAUUUAGAGCUUAAUAAGAACUAAAAAGUAGCUACCCCGGGGAUAACAGCGUAAUCCAACUUGAGAGUACACAUCGAAAGCUGGGUUUGCGACCUCGAUGUUGGCUUAA
rnacentral:rRNA from 1 species